CCAUAUUGUCAGGAAAGCACUGUUUAAUGGUUGGAUAAGAUACAAGGAUUUAUUGGAAAAUAAAACCCCAAGGUGGCUGUCACCGAUGGAAGCGAAAGCUCUGAAAAAGCUCAAUAUGGAGGUCAAAUGGCCGAAAUAUUGGGAAAUUUUGGAGCAAGAUGGAGAUAGACUGAAAUUGCAGAGUUUUGAAAAAUUAAAAAACAAAGUGCGAGACUGGCUUCAUUAUUAUCAGAUAAUGGAGGCAUAUAAUUUGGACAAGAAAAUCGGCUUCCAGGUGGAAAAAUCAAAAUUAGAAACAGAAUUGUUAGAACCCAAAACUAAGAUUUUGUCAAAGAUGUAUAACUUGCUGUUGAAAUGGAAUACUCAGGAUGAAACGGUGAAAUCUGCUAUGAUUAAAUGGGCACAAGACGUUGGACAUAAUAUUAUGUUUGCUGACUGGGAACAGUUGUGGACCACAGGUAUGAAAUUUACGGCAUGUAAUGCCUUAAGAGAAAAUAUUAUGAAAAUGAUAUACAGGUGGUACAUAACCCCAGUCAAGCUUGCAAAAAUCUAUCAUGUCCCUGAUAAUAAAUGUUGGAAAUGUAAAGAAACUGAAGGUACAUUUUUUCACCUUUGGUGGACGUGCCCAAGGAUUAAGGCUUUCUGGGAGAUGAUCUAUAAUGAACUAAAAAAGGUAUUUAAAUAUACCUUCUUGAAGAAACCAGAGGCCUUUCUCCUGGGCAUAGUCGGCCAAUCGGUGUUAAAAAAGGACAGGACUUUCUUUAUGUAUGCUACAACAGCAGCAAGAAUACUUAUUGCAAAGUAUUGGAAGACACAAGACUUACCCACACUGGAGGAAUGGCAGAUGAAAUUGAUGGACUAUAUGGAAUUGGCGGAAAUGACUGGCAGAAUCCGAGACCAGGGAGAACAGUCGGUGGAAGAAGAUUGGAAGAAAUUUAAAGACUAUUUACAGAAAUAUUGCAAAAUUAAUGAAUGUUAGAAUGAUGUUGGAUUGAAGUUAAGUGGUUUCUAGUGGUAUAGGUACAAAAGAAUAUGGAAAAAUUGGUUUUUAAUAUGUAAAAAUUUAAUGUUAUAAUAUCAAGAUUAAAGAUUAGGACUAAAAAGGAAGAGGGAAAGAAAUUGUUGGAUUAACAAAUUGAAUUGGAAUACAAAAGAGGGAGGUAUGAGGAGGUCCGGGAAACAAGUAAAUGUAAAAGAAGUGAAGAAAAGAUGGAAUUGUUUUUAACUGUUUUUUCUUUUUUCUAUUUUGUAUUUUUUCUUAUUAUUGUUAAUUUUUUUUCUUUUAUUAAUGUGAUUUUUCUUCUUUUGAAACUUUAAUAAAUAUUAUUUUUUUU